CGAAGGGGGCUAGCGUUGUUCGGAAUUACUGGGCGUAAAGCGAGUGUAGGCGGUUGCCCAAGUCAGGUGUGAAAGCCUUGAGCUCAACUCAAGAAAUGCACUUGGUACUGGGUGGCUAGAGGACCGGAGAGGAUAGUGGAAUUCCCAGUGUAGUGGUGAAAUACGUAGAGAUUGGGAAGAACACCAGUGGCGAAGGCGGCUAUCUGGACGGUUACUGACGCUAAGACUCGAAAGCGUGGGGAGCAAACAGGAUUAGAUACCCUGGUAGUCCACGCCGUAAACGAUGGGUGCUAGACGUUGGCGAGCUUGCUCGUCAGUGUCGCAGCUAACGCGUUAAGCACCCCGCCUGGGGAGUACGGCCGCAAGGUUG
rnacentral:rRNA from 1 species